UUUCCGGUUGAUCCUGCCGGACCCCACUGCUAUCGGGAUAGGACUAAGACAUGCUAGUCAAGCGCUCGCCAGCCAAAGGUGAGUGCGGCGCACAGCUCAGUAACACGUGGCUAACCUGCCCUCGGGACGGGGACACCCCCGGGAAACUGGGGCUAAUCCCCGAUAGGUGAAGAACUCUGGAAUGAGUCUCCGCCUAAAAGGCGCUUGCGCUAUGCUCGUAGGCGUCGCCCAAGGAUGGGGCCGCGUCCGAUCAGGUUGUUGGUGAGGUAACGGCUCACCAAGCCUUUUACCGGUGCGGGCCGUGGGAGCGGGAGCCCGGAGAUGGGCACUGAGACAAGGGCCCAGGCCCUACGGGGCGCAGCAGUCGCGAAAACUUUGCAAUACACGAAAGUGUGACAGGGCUAUCCCGAGUGCCAUCCGCUGAGGAAGGCUUUUACCCAGUGUAGAUAGCUGGGAGAAUAAGGAGAGGGCAAGACUGGUGUCAGCCGCCGCGGUAAUACCAGCUCUCCGAGUGGUGUGGAUGUUUAUUGGGCCUAAAGCAUCCGUAGCUGGCUGGGCAAGUCCCCUGUUAAAUCCACCGAUUCAAUCGUUGGAGUGCGGGGGAUACUGCUCGGCUAGGGGACGGGAGAGGCCGACGGUAUUUUCGGGGUAGGGGUGAAAUCCUAUAAUCCCGGGAAGACCACCAGUGGCGAAGGCUGUCGGCUAGAACGCGCCCGACGGUGAGGGAUGAAAGCUGGGGGAGCGAACCGGAUUAGAUACCCGGGUAGUCCCAGCUGUAGACGAUGCAGGCUAGGUGUUUGGGCGGCCACGAGCCGCUCUAGUGCCGCAGGGAAGUCGUUAAGCCUGCCGCCUGGGGAGUACGGCCGCAAGGCUGAAACUUAAAGGAAUUGGCGGGGGAGCACCACAAGGGGUGAAGCUUGCGGUUUAAUUGGAGUCAACGCCGGG
rnacentral:rRNA from 1 species